UACGUAGGGGGCAAGCGCUGUCCGGAUUUACUGGGCGUAAAGAGCGUGUAGGCGGCCAGGCAGGUCUGUUGUGAAAACUGGAGGCUCAACUUCCAGACGUCGACAGAAACCGCUUGGCUAGAGUCCGGAAGAGGAGAGUGGAAUUCCUGGUGUAGCGGUGAAAUGCGCAGAUAUCAGGAAGAACACCGAUGGCGAAGGCAGCUCUCUGGGACGGUACUGACGCUGAGACGCGAAAGCGUGGGGAGCGAACAGG
rnacentral:rRNA from 1 species